rnacentral:rRNA from 1 species
AGAUACGUGUAUCUAGCUGAAUGUACUGUAAGAAUAAGGAUCGGCUAACUCCGUGCCAGCAGCCGCGGUAAUACGGAGGAUCCAAGCGUUAUCCGGAUUUAUUGGGUUUAAAGGGUGCGUAGGCGGCUUAUUAAGUCAGGGGUGAAAGGCGGUAGCUUAACUAUCGGAGUGCCCUUGAUACUGAUGAGCUUGAAUGCAGCUGAGGUAGGCGGAAUGUGACAAGUAGCGGUGAAAUGCAUAGAUAUGUCACAGAACACCGAUUGCGAAGGCAGCUUACUAAAGUGUGAUUGACGCUGAGGCACGAAAGCGUGGGGAUCAAACAGGAUUAGAUACCCUGGUAGUCCACGCCCUAAACGAUGAAUACUCGAUGUUGGCGAUAUACGGUCAGCGUCUAAGCGAAAGCGUUAAGUAUUCCACCUGGGGAGUACGCCCGCAAGGGUGAAACUCAAAGGAAUUGACGGGGGCCCGCACAAGCGGAGGAGCAUGUGGUUUAAUUCGAUGAUACGCGAGGAACCUUACCCGGGCUUGAAAGUUAGUGAAUGAUACAGAGACGUAUCAGUCCUUCGGGACACGAAACUAGGUGCUGCAUGGCUGUCGUCAGCUCGUGCCGUGAGGUGUUGGGUUAAGUCCCGCAACGAGCGCAACCCCUGUGUUUAGUUGCCAGCACGUAAUGGUGGGGACUCUAAACAGACUGCCUAUGCAAAUAGAGAGGAAGGAGGGGACGACGUCAAGUCAUCAUGGCCCUUACGUCCGGGGCUACACACGUGCUACAAUGGGCAGUACAGAGGGCAGCUACCUGGCAACAGGAUGCCAAUCUCAAAAAGCUGUUCACAGUUCGGAUCGGGGUCUGCAACUCGACCCCGUGAAGUUGGAUUCGCUAGUAAUCGCGUAUCAGCAA